UACAGAGGUCUCGAGCGUUGUUCGGAUUCAUUGGGCGUAAAGGGUGCGUAGGCGGCGCGGUAAGUCGGAUGUGAAAUCUCGGAGCUUAACUUCGAAACUGCAUUCGAUACUGCCGUGCUUGAGGACUGGAGAGGAGACUGGAAUUCAUGGUGUAGCAGUGAAAUGCGUAGAGAUCAUGAGGAAGACCAGUGGCGAAGGCGGGUCUCUGGACAGUUCCUGACACUGAGGCACGAAGGCCAGGGGAGCAAACGGG
rnacentral:rRNA from 1 species